CCCUUAGAUGUUCUGGGCCGCACGCGUGCUACACUGAAGGAAUCAGCACGUCUUUCUCCUUGUCCGAAAGGACUGGGUAACCCGCUGAACCUCCUUCGUGCUAGGGAUUGGGGCUUGUAAUUCUUCCCCAUGAACGAGGAAUUCCCAGUAAGCGCGAGUCAUAAGCUCGCGUUGAUUACGUCCCUGCCCUUUGUACACACCGCCCGUCGCUACUACCGAUUGGAUGGUUUAGUGAGAUCCUCGGAUUGGUCCCGGAGCGGCCUCUGGUCGUGCCGGAGUGCCGAAAAGAAUGUCGAACUUGAUCAUCUAGAGGAAGUAAAAGUCGUAACA
rnacentral:rRNA from 1 species